AAAAAGCCAUCAACUUUGACACAGUUGGCUAGUCUGGUCUUUGGACUUCUCUGGCAGUCAACCCUCCAAACAGCUAUCAAAGUUCAGGUUUCCCUGUGCCAAAGUUGAUAAAUGUAGUGUAAAGGUAACGAUAGUUGACUGUCAUUUUUUUUUCAGAUUAGCAGAGAGAGGAAGAUGAAGUUUGCCCAACAGCAGAAUCAGAGAGAAGUGAGCUAUUCAAAUGUGCUCUACAUUUGUCCCUGAAGACAAGUUUUGCUAAAACAAGAACCUGUGGCAAGCUAGGAACCAAAAUGAGCUUCUGACUCCGGGUUCAGGAAAGCUGUCAAGCAGAUGGAGUCUUGCCCGUGGGAUCCCAGAAGGACUCAGUUCUGAGUUUUCUACCCUAAGG
rnacentral:lncRNA from 1 species